GACGAACCGUGCGAACGUUGUUCGGAAUCACUGGGCUUAAAGGGCGCGUAGGCGGGUCGGCAAGUCCGGGGUGAAAGCCCCCGGCUCAACUGGGGAAGUGCCGUGGAAACUGCCGGUCUCGAGGGAGGUAGGGGUAUGUGGAACUUUGGGUGGAGCGGUGAAAUGCGUUGAUAUCCGAAGGAACGCCGGUGGCGAAAGCGACGUGCUGGAUCUCUUCUGACGCUGAGGCGCGAAAGCUAGGGGAGCAAACGGG
rnacentral:rRNA from 1 species